CGUCCAUUUCCGACCCAACCCAGCUCCGGAUCCGCCCUCAUUCGCCCUUAACCAGCCGCGCACAGAGAGUGCAGGAAAUGGGUUUCUAGCUGGUUCGGGCUCGUUUUGGGUCGUUUCCCGGCCCCGAACCCGAGGCCCGCUUUGGGAACAAUCGUUCCUCGCGUCGCCGCCGUCGGAUUGAUCCGAUUUGCGCGCGAAUUGGACCCCGUUGAGGAGCUGAGGAGGAAUUUGAGAAGGAGAACUCGGAGGUGAAACCUGAGUAGAAGGACUUUUGGAAGAAGAAGAUAAUACCGAGAGAGAUUUUGAGUAUGACCUGAAGGGAUUGAGAUUUCAUCUUCUUUUGUGAACUCCAAUUGAUGUGAAUAGUUAUGAAGUUCUUUAGUGGAUGUCAUGUACAAAAGUUUGGUUAUAAAUUUCAAUAUGAAAAAUAUGACCCUGCUUUUCUAUCC